rnacentral:rRNA from 1 species
AACGAACGCUGGCGGCAGGCUUAACACAUGCAAGUCGAACGGUUGUAGCAAUACAGCAGUGGCAGACGGGUGAGUAACACGUGGGAACCUUCCUAGGGGUACGGAACAACUCAGGGAAACUUGAGCUAAUACCGUAUACGUCCGUGAGGAGAAAGAUUUAUCGCCCUUAGACGGGCCCGCGUAGGAUUAGGUAGUUGGUGAGGUAACGGCUCACCAAGCCUACGAUCCUUAGCUGAUCUGAGAGGAUGAUCAGCCACACUGGGACUGAGACACGGCCCAGACUCCUACGGGAGGCAG